rnacentral:rRNA from 1 species
GACGAACGCUGGCGGCGUGCUUAACACAUGCAAGUCGAACGAUGAACCCGGAGCUUGCUCUGGGGGAUUAGUGGCGAACGGGUGAGUAACACGUGAGUAACCUGCCCUUGACUCUGGGAUAAGCGUUGGAAACGACGUCUAAUACCGGAUAGGACCUUGGAACGCAUGAUCUUGGGUGGAAAGUUUUUUCGGUCUGGGAUGGACUCGCGGCCUAUCAGCUUGUUUGUGAGGUAAUUGCUCACCAAGGCGUCGACGGGUAGCCGGCCUGAGAGGGUGACCGGCCACACUGGGACUGAGACACGGACGCGACUCCUACGGGAGGCAGCAGAGGGGAAUAUUGCACAAUGGGCGAAAGCCUGAUGGAGCAACGCCGCGUGCGGGAUGACGGCCUUCGGGUUGUAAACCGCUUUUAGUAGGGAAGAAGGGCUUCGGCUUGACGGUACCUGAAGAAAAAGGACCGGCUAACUACGUG